rnacentral:rRNA from 1 species
GACGAACGCUGGCGGCGUGCUUAACACAUGCAAGUCGAACGAGACGAUUGGAAGCUUGCUUUCGAAAGUCGAGUGGCAAACGGGUGAGUAACGCGUAGACAACCUGCCUUUGAGAUGGGGACAACAGUUCGAAAGGACUGCUAAUACCGAAUGUUGUAUAUUUUCCACAUGGAAGAUAUAUUAAAGAUGGCCUCUAUUUAUAAGCUAUCGCUCAAAGAUGGGUCUGCGUCUGAUUAGCUGGUUGGUGGGGUAACGGCCUACCAAGGCGACGAUCAGUAGCCGGUCUGAGAGGAUGAACGGCCACAUUGGGACUGAGACACGGCCCAGACCCCUACGGGAGGCAGCAGUGGGGAAUCUUCCACAAUGGACGAAAGUCUGAUGGAGCAACGCCGCGUGAGUGAAGAAGGGUUUCGGCUCGUAAAGCUCUGUUGUCGGGGACGAAUAUGCAGUAUUUGAAUAAAGUACUGUAAUGACGGUACCUGACGAGGAAGCCACGGCUAACUACGUGCCAGCCGCCGCCGUAA